UAGUCUAGUGGUUAAGGCUAUGGAUCGCCAAUCCGGAGAUGGCGGGUUCGAUUCCCGU
rfam:Aedes albopictus isolate Foshan contig44548, whole genome shotgun sequence.